UAAUAAACUAAAACAUGUUUUAAAUUAAUAUUAAAUUAAUAUGAACAUAAAAUGAUAUUUUAAAGAAUAACGUUAUUAAAUUCUCUAUCAUUUUGAAAGGACAGGACAACAUGGCUAAGAGGAAGAACAUGCCCAUUUCUUUGAAAUGAGUUCCAUACACUGGAUUUAGAUCUAUACACCCUAAGAUACAGAAGUGACUUGGAGAAUUAUUGCCAGAAAUAUUUUGACAAUAUAUGGAGAAAGGAAAUACUGUUUAAUGGAAAGUGUUGCCUCAAUUAUCAUAAAUGAGACAAACUAUGUUUUAAAGCUGCACAACUGCACACUGAUAACCCUGCAACCCUCUUAGUAGGUUAAGAAAUGGACAGUUUGUAGAGGAAAGGUCAUGAGGAGCCAGCAUGGGUUCACUGAGAAUGAUCAAUGCCAAGGUAGCUAAUUUCACAUCUUAGUAGGUUAGACUUACAGGUUUGGGGAAUUUUGGAGACAUAGUAAGUAAAUGUAUUUCUGGACUUGAGUCUAAAUAGCAGCACAUUGCUUAAAAUUCCCAGAAAUUUUAUAUUUAAACCAAUUUUCCUUUAACUUCUGAGAUGCUGAUUUACUAGAUCUUGGUUGGGACUGGGGAUGUGUAUUUUACAAAGUUCCCCAGGGAGUUCUGAUCAUCUUCUAUGUUUGGAAAUCUCUGUGUUGGGCAAUCCAUUUUUUUUCCAGCAAAUAUGAAUACAUUUUUUUGACCUUCACUCUCUACUUAUAAAUUUAGCAUCUGUUUUUGAACCUCAUAAGGCCUUGGACAAUUUGAGAAAUGAGAAGAAAGCAAAGAUGCUUAUUUGGGAACAUCCUGAUGUAGCCAUUCUAAGGUUAAAUGCAUAGAUGUGAAGCUGGCUUCUUAGAUCCAAAGCCUGACCCUCUAGCUGUGUACGUUACUUUAUGUGUUUGUACCUUUGUUUGUUUUUACAUGUAAAAUAGUAAUAGUGCUUGCUCAUUGGUAAUUAAUUGAGAUACAAAUAAAGUACUUACAACAGUGUCAGUGUAUAGGAUAUUCUCAAUUAGAGUUGGCAAUUAUUGCUAUUACCAUUGUAAUAAAUACCUAUUAUUUUUCAGGUGGGACUACCAAGAUGAAAAGAUAUGCCCCUCAAUUUUACAACUUCAGGAAAUUUAUCAUGGGAGUCAAGUGUGCACAUCAACAAUUGGUACACAACUUUCAAGAGUUAAUAAUGGACCUAAAAAAUCUUGAUUUAAAUCCGAAGACAAUGUAGAUAUUGAAGGGCUCAAAAGGAGAGUUGAGACAUUGGAAGGGCACAUGGUUCCACUUGACAUUGCACUAGCAAGUCCUUUGUGAGUGGUGUUGGGGUGGAGGCAAAGGUUAUCCCAGCCUCUGUCGCUGUGCCUUCAUUACCAGCAGUUCUGUCCACCUGGGGGCCCUAAUGGCCUCUAUACACCAUAAAAUGAAUGUGAGCGGUGCAACUGCUGACUCAUCCACUGUAGUCACUUGAACUCAUCAAAGGACAAAACACAUAUAAGGAAACCGAGAAGGAAAACAAUCAGCUCUUUUUGCUCUGGGCUGAGGGAGUGAGCUGUAAUGAGGAAGCACGCGAAUGCAUUGGGCGCCCUCAGACCUGAACACACAGGUUAGCACCACCUGCCUGGCCGACCCGGCUCACAGGUGCGCAGUUGCCAGGGUUGGAGCAGUCACAUUUUGGAAAUCACAUCUUGAGGAUGGCGGAGAUGACCUCUGACUGGGCUCAUGAAUAGUCAUGUGGAAGACAGCCGUGCCCUGAACUGGGACACCCUGGAUCAUUAUCACAAGGAACUGCUUCUGCAAUAACUAAAGUCAAUGAAGAAAGUAAGAGGACUGCAAAGGUUUCCCUGCUGAUUCUGCCAACAGAAAUGUUUUUAUUGUGCUGCUUUGGGUGAGUAGGAUGAGUUAGGCUCAAAGCUAAAAUCAGAUGAAUGAAAUGUUUUGUGCCUGCCUGUAUUCACACACAUGUGCACGCACAUGCACACACACACACACCGUGGCCCUCAUUAGUAAAUUGUUUGAAAAACAAAUGAAAUAGAGGUAAAAUUUGGAACAUGAAAUAGAUAAUAUGCUCUUUGUGCUGAAGAAUGCACCAUGGUAUAUCAGAAAAGCAAACAGGCAAGUCCAGAAAAACUUGGAGCCCUCAGGAAGCCACCAAGAUACACAGAGGACUGAAGUUGCAUUUUUUCUUCUCUUCCGCAAACGUUCAGUCCAAUAGCAACUAAUCCUAGGGAACUAAAAAUACACAAAGUGUACAGUAACUCCCUUCUUUGGCUCUUUCUAUAAUGUAUACAAAUCUGACUGAUAAAAGGCCCAAUUCACUCAGCAGAGAGCUGGCUUCUGUCUGAUGGAAUUUCACCGUGGAGUUUUCACAGUGAGAGCAGUUGGAGCCUUUGCAUCUCCCAUCCUUCUCUGUGGGAGACACAGCCUCAUGGAUCUGACUGAUAGCAAUGAGCAGUCUGGGACAAGCCGGUCGCUGUGUCUGUAGGCAUCUGACAAGAGGAGGAUAUGAUUGCGGCAAUGUGUUAGGGAAGUCUGGCUUUCUUCCUCAAAGCCCUCUUUAUUCUAAGGUUACCUGGCAUUGCAUGAGAGCCAAGCAGGCAAAUUAAAUUCCUUCUAUUCAGCCUUGCAGAGAGGUGAAAAACUCAUCUCCUGGCUGGCAGUAUUUGUUGCCAGCCCUGCCCUAUCUAGUGGCAGGCAGUUGUGCAUCCGAUAGCCAGAUCGGUCAGGAGUACUGUUUUUCAUAUUUAUUUAUAUCUGGACUUUCUCUAAGUCCUUCAAGAUUUUCCAAAUUUGUUUUAGGCCCUGUGUUUGUGUGAUUAGACUAAUUUCCACAGCUGCUUCUCCGUUUAUGACCUUGUGUUUCUCUGUCUCCAAAACAACUUGUAUCUAGGAUGAGCACAGCAUCAGGUAUUUCUCCAGUUUUUGUGCACUUCAUUUUUCACUUUCUGCAUUUGGAGUUAAUCAAAUGAUUGUCUUGUUACUUUUGAAACCAUGGGCCUAGUAAUCACUUGGGAUAUGGGGUAGGUUGGGAUUACAUUUUCUAUGUGCCAGUCUUGGUGGUCGGUAUCAUUGCCUUGUGUUUUGAUUUGUUCUUACAAUGGCUAGGCUGAGAUUAAAAUUUCUCAGAGUGAAAUUGUGUUUACAGAAGGACGAAAGAUUUUCGAAGUUAGUUCAACUCAUUGGUUGAUCUGGCAAGCCUAUGUUGAACCAGUUAUACAAAUUUACAGAUUCUGCUAAUAGCUAUAAUUUCCUAGAUGAAGAAGCCACAGGAUACCUUAAAUCUCUAAGUAAAUUCAUAU